UCUGACCUUUUUCCAAAAAGUAUUUUUAAAGAUUGAAUGUGAGGACGAGAGUUAAGCAUUUAGAUUUAAUUGUAUAACCUAAGUCAACAGAGCGAAAGUUUGAGAUAAGGGUGUUUAAAACGGUCAGUAUUUUCUUAAAAAGAGUUUCUGCAACUUUAUUGUUUUCAAAAUAUGAUUUUUGACUUAAUUAUAAGUGACAGCAACAUUAACAUAAGAUCAUGGUUUCUUCAAUAGAGCGAGAGUUUGAGAUAAAACCUUUAACCAAUAAAGUUAGUCGAAACGAUUUAUUUUAAAACCGAGAGACCGACAAGGAAUUGAUUCCCUAGUUUUGACGAACUACAUACCGAUAUCCGUUUUAUUAAUAUUUAAUCUAGAUCUUAGUUUAG
rnacentral:lncRNA from 1 species